GAAUUUUGUACAAUGGGCGAAAGCCUGAUCCAGCAAUGCCGCGUGCAGGAUGAAGGCCUUCGUGUUGUAAACUGCUUUUGUACGUAAGGCAACGCUUUGGGUUAAUGCCCUGGAGUCAUGACGUGACCGUAAAAAUAAGCACCGGCUAACUACGUGCCAGCAGCCGCGGUAAUACGUAGGGUGCAAGCGUGAAUCGGAAUUACUGGGCGUAAAGCGUGCGCAGGCGGUUGUGUAAGACAGAGGUGAAAUCCCCGGGCUCAACCUGGGAACUGCCUUUGUGACUGCAAGGCUAGAGUACGGCAGAGGGGGGUGGAAUUCCGCGUGUAGCAGUGAAAUGCGUAGAUAUGCGGAGGAACACCGAUGGCGAAGGCAACCCCCUGGGCCUGUACUGACGCUCAUGCACGAAAGCGUGGGGAGCAAACA
rnacentral:rRNA from 1 species